GACGAACGCUGGCGGCGUGCUUAACACAUGCAAGUCGAACGGAAAGGCCCGGCGCUUGUGGGGUGGUCGAUUGGGGAAGGGGGGAGGAACACGUGUGGAACCUGCCCUUGACUUUGGGGGAACUUUUGGGAAAUGGGGCUAAUACCGGAUAUGAGCUCCUGCUGCAUGUGGUGGGUUUGAAAGAGUCGGCGGUUGUGGAUGGACUCGCGGCUUAUGAGCUUGUUUGUGUGGUUGGGACGUACCAAGGGUUUGACGGGUAGGCGGCCUGGGAGGGUGGCCGGCAACAUUGGGACUGCGAUAGGGCGCAGAAUGCUACCGGAGGCAGCGGUCGGGAGUCUGGCAGAAUGGGCGGACGCCUGAUAUAGCGGCGCUGGGUGCGGGAUGCCGGCUUUCGGGGUGUAAACAGCUUUCGCCUGUGACGAAGCCUGAGUGACGGUAACGGGUAAAGAAGCCCCGGCUAACUACGUG
rnacentral:rRNA from 1 species